GGAGAGUUGUCAGAGUUGGUUUAUUGUGCUGGUCUUGAAAACCAGUGGCCAGAAAUGGUCCAGGAGUUCGAAUCUCUUACUCUCCGC
rnacentral:tRNA from 1 species